GAAACCUGCCGCGGCUCUCCGCCUCUUUGUCUGCUCUGGGACUUGGAACAAAAGGGGAAACUCUGAUGAACUCCUUCUCCAGCUCCCUGGACGCCCGAGUAUCUCUUUCUCGCAACUUUGUCAACGCGACUUUCUCCGCUGUCAGGCUGCGCAAAAGUAUCCUAGCGCCUCGCAGGCUGCAACAAUGGAAACAAUGUCCCUUCAAAGUGCGACGAAGUGGAGGGAGAAGGUGUCAUACCAGCGACUCCAAGAGUCAUGUCACCCACUUAGCAGGAGUACUUCUACUGAAAUGCCUUCGAAUUUCUCUUACUGGAUAUAUACCUACCAGCCGCUAGCAUGAAGAUGCCAGGACCGCUGCAAGUUAGCACUGGACAAAGUAGCAUCAACUUCUUCAUUUAGAGUUUCUUCAGUUAAAUUGCUGGGAUUUUCGACAAGGCUUUCCUUAUGUGGAUUAUUGGAGUGUGAUGCCCGAGAAUUCUCUACUUGUAGAAGCACGCCCACGGGACUGCAGAAGCCUUCACACCCACCCAGCACGCUCAGAUCAUCCAGUAACCAACCCAGGAAGUUCUUGUAAGCAUGCAUUUCUUAGUCAACACUGAAUGCCUUUAGACCGAGGUCAACCUUUUCAGCUGGUACCGUGGUUUACACUGCUGAAAGUACUGUCUUCAACCUUACCAAUGUCAGUGGCGGCGACGGUGGCGUCACCAUCACCAUCAGAGAAAAAGAAAUAUGCCUUUAUGUCAUGAUGGGAAUGAGUGAUGGCCAUCCAGUGACCAGCUGGAUCUGACUGCCUUACAAGACGCAUGUGUAUGAUUAAGAGAGAGACAUUCGUGACUCCCAGAUGUACCUCCUUCCUGUCCCACAGUGUUCCUGAAGGGAGUGAGUUAUGGGGUAACUUAUAACACAGCAGGCUCUUCCUCAAGAUAGCUCUUGUCAAAACAGGAAGACGAAACUCGGGUUUCCAUGAGGAGACCACAGCUUGGGAUCCUGUCUGGAUGUACAAGCAGAAGCAUCUUCAUACUUUUCCAUUUCUAACCAUCAUGCCUCACCCCACCCUCCCAAGGCGACAUCUGCAGAGAGGUGGAACCAUCUAGGGAGGCCUGCCACUGUUUGCUGAGCUCCGGGUGAGGAUGAAGACACUUUGACAUGGCCAGCUUCAGACUCGGGAUCUGUCGGUGUUAGCAGCCGAAGGAGAAUGAGGAGGAAGAGGAGGAGAAAGAGGAGGAGGAAGUAAGACAGAGGGGGACAAGAGGACCAAGAGGGCACAUGGCUGAGGAGGAGGAGAACAACAACAACAACAACAACAACAACAACAACAAGAAGCUUGGUGUUUUCAGGAUGUGUUCCUGAGUCUCGUGAGUAGCACAUGGCAGUUGUUGUCACCUUGGGCUGAGCCGUGAAGAUUCUCACCCUCCCUUGUUGGGGAUGAACUCCGGGAUUCUAAGGAGAGGUCAGCAGGUGUUUCACAGACUGUUCCUGUUGGAGGAUUUGUCUGAUACUCUUCUCCUGAUUAGUCUGGGCUCUACAUUUCCCCAAGGGUGAAACUUGGAAGCCCUCUCCAGGAUGCAGCAGGUAGCUGAGGAGAAAACGAAGACUGACCAGCCCAGAGCUCAGAGCUUCCUCCCAUGCUCAGGAUUUACCACCAAUGCCAUUACAUCGGCCUCUUCUUGUAUGCCUCUGGAAACCACAUGUGUCCUCUGUUUGUAAUGGUUUGGCUAUGGUUGCUGGCCCCUCUUGGACAUUGUUUUCAGAACUUAAAGAAACAUUGCUUUAAAGAUUUAUUAGAACAUAUUUAAAAUAAAACCAUCUUCUCAUUUAGUAUGCAA
rnacentral:lncRNA from 1 species